GAUAUCAAUCUUAAGUCUAGCUGCAGCACCGGAAACUUCGACUUGCGAUUCGACAUGAUGAAGACAUUAUCCUUUCGAUCAAUCAAGGUAGGUGUAUCUUCAGCUCCAUUGUCAUUCUCCAAGUGGAAAACAUCAUGCAACUGGAAUGACUUUUCCUCCUUUGUCUCAUUCUUCUUGGGCUUGACCCUUGCAACAGUUUCCAAAACAGCCUCUUGCUCCGCCACGCUAUUGUUGAAGCUUCUGUGAUCAGUUACAUCUGUCUUGUCGUCAGUUUCAUUGAACUCCUUUUCGAGAGCUUUAUCGAUCAUUGUAGCAAAGGUAGAUCUAGACGAGUUGAACUCAGAAGAAUUCAAGACAUCAUUUACAUCUUGAGGCUUCACAUCACGAUCAGCAUCAGCAUCAGAGAGGACGCAUUGCAAAGAGAAAGGGAGAAUGAGGAGAAGGAAGAGCACUGGCACUCGCAUUUGCAUUUUGGUUAGGUUAGAGAGAGAAAACUCUGAUGAGGGUUUUAGAGAGAGAAGGAGGGUUGUAAC
rnacentral:misc_RNA from 1 species